UACGAAGGGGGCUAGCGUUGCUCGGAAUCACUGGGCGUAAAGCGCACGUAGGCGGAUUGCUAAGUCAGGGGUGAAAUCCUGGAGCUCAACUCCAGAACUGCCUUUGAUACUGGCGACCUUGAGUCCGGGAGAGGUGAGUGGAACUGCGAGUGUAGAGGUGAAAUUCGUAGAUAUUCGCAAGAACACCAGUGGCGAAGGCGGCUCACUGGCCCG
rnacentral:rRNA from 1 species